UACGUAGGGUGCGAGCGUUAAUCGGAAUUACUGGGCGUAAAGGGUGCGCAGGCGGUUUUGUAAGCCCGAUGUGAAAGCCCCGGGCUUAACCUGGGAAUGGCAUUUGGGACUGCAAGGCUAGAGUGUGGCAGAGGAGACUGGAAUUCCUGGUGUAGCAGUGAAAUGCGUAGAUAUCAGGAGGAAUACCGAUGGCGAAGGCAGGUCUCUGGGCUGACACUGACGCUCAUGCACGAAAGCGUGGGGAGCAAACAGG
rnacentral:rRNA from 1 species